GGACGACGCUGGCGGCGUGGAUUAGGCAUGCAAGUCGGACGGUAGGGCUUUAUCGUAAGAUAGAGUUUGAGAGUGGCGAACGGGUGAGUAACACGUAGGAAUCUACCCUUAAGACGGGGACAACCCAGGGAAACUUGGGCUAAUACCGGAUGAGAGUGCGAGAGAUUGCAUUUAAAAGGAUGGCGAAAGUUGUCGCUUAGGGAUGAGCCUGCGGUCUAUUAGUUAGUUGGUGAGGUAAGAGCUCACCAAGGCGAUGAUAGAUAGGCGGCCUUAACGGGUGGUCGCCCACACUGGGAUUGAGAUACGGCCCAGACUCCUACGGGAGGCAGCAGCUAAGAAUAUUCCGCAAUGGACGGAAGUCUGACGGAGCGACGCCGCGUGGAUGAAGAAGGCCGAAAGGUUGUAAAGUUCUUUUGCUAGGGGAGAAUAAGUGUGGGAGGGAAUGCCUGCACGAUGACAAGGACUAGCGAAUAAGUCCCGGCCAACUACGUG
rnacentral:rRNA from 1 species